ACGCUCCUUGGCGUUGGCCACCCGCCGCCGCUCCAGCACCCCCGCCAGGUCCCCCUCUGCCUCGUAGCCCCCCGUGGGGCCGCGGCGCAGGCGGGCGAUGGGGGCCACGCAUGGCAGGGGGCCGUGGCGCUGGCUCAGCACCGUGCCCAGCACCUCAGGGGGUGGUGUGGCCAGCAGGACCCCCGGCACCCCUGCUGCCCCGCUCUGCUCCCCCAUAACCAGGGAAAAGAGGAACCGGUGCCUGCACCCAACACACAACACAAUCACCUACUGAAAAUACCCACAAAAGGCCCAAAAUUCCCUUAAAUACACACCCUGCCUAACGGGUUGCACCUGGUGCCCAGCUGGGGCUAACGAGUGGGGCGGGGGAGCUGCUUUGCCCGAAUUAAUACUGGUUUUGGGACUGUCCAAGCUCAUCCCUCGGCCCUAAAGUCUCCUGUUAAAUGGGGAGAGGCCACAAGGCUCCAGUAUUUGGGGGCUUUACGUCUGGGGGCUCUCUCACAAGCAGGGGGUGGGUGGGGGUGUCACUGGAGAAAACGUCCGGGGUUUGUUGGUGUCCCUGCAAAACCCCAAACCCUAAAACCUUGGAGUUGUGCAGCGUGACCCCAAAAUCCCCUCCUAAAACGCCCCCGGGGGCACUGGGGCCUUGUGGUGGAUGAGCCCCGAUGCGCCAGGGAUGGGCAGCCACUGCCCAGAAGGGAGGAAUGGGGUUUUUGGAGGUCUCGUGUCCCCAAAAAUGCAGGAAUAGGGUUUUUUAUUUUUAGGGGUGGCAAUAAAAAUGUGCGUUGUGUGAUGGCUGGGAGGCAGGUCUCGGUAGAUGGCAGUGUUGGUCCUCGCAGCCUCCUCCUGAACUGCUGGAAAAUCCCAUUUGGGGGCCACCACACCCCCAGCACCACGUCCGUCCUGCCGGCCCCGCUGCCCGCCGGGGGCUGACAUUUGCUGUUAUCACGAGACUGGAAAAUUACCCGGAGGUUUCUAAUUACCCUCGCCAGGAAGGUCAGCAGAAGGGGGAAGCACAGCGAUGAGAGCCCCGAUGCAGCCCCCAGCCUUUCCUGACUCCGCCGCUCGUGGAUUUGCAGGAGCAGCUCCCGGGAGAACCCCCCUGAGCUCUCAGACGUGCUUUGUCCAGCAAUUUUGCUCAUGCUGAGCAGCUCCACGAGCAGAAAUCCCCAAAUUUCUCCAACAUCCCACACUUCAGACCCCUUGCACACGGCAGCCCCAAUUCCUCACCCAUGGGCAGCUCUGGUCCCCAGGAGCAGGGGAAAUUCAGGUGGCAAUAAGGCGAACCACAUCGACUUUAUCAACUCGUGCAGGCAAAGCCUGCUGACAUAAAGGGCUUUUUCCUGCCAUCACAGCAAUAAAGCCACCACCGUAGGUGCCACGGUGAUAAACCGUAUCAGCAGCCCCACAGCACCUUAUCUCAGCCCCAUAGGGCCCAGCUCCAGGAAGAGCCGCGGAGUUCCCAUCCUGGCCAAGGUUCCUGCUGCAGGAGCUGCUCGGGGCAGAAAUCUGAACAGGGAUUCAUGCGGGGAAGCCCAUGGCUGGCUUUGGGGGAGCCGUCAGCCGCGCAGGCUCAGGUUUGGGGCUGGCUCCCAGCGCAGCACCCAGUCCCCAGCCACCCACCAAUGCUGGGUCCUGUGCAGGAUCGGUCCCAGCCACGCAGCCCCAAACGCUCAAGUUGUCCCUGAGUGAGCCGGCGGGGACAGUAAUGGGGUUUGUCGGGCACGGGGACAGUGGGGAUUAAGUGGGGUGGGGGCAGUGGGGGACACUUUAGGGUCGCUCAGUUCCUCGUGACCCAGCUUUUUGUGUGACGGAGGGAGGUGAAACGCAGCCCGUAAAAUAAAAUCCAUGCUGGGACCAUGCAAGGAGGCAAAAAUCCAUGGGCAUGUGCUGGGAAAGUGGGUCCUGCCCCUGCAGCCACGCUCCCCAAUCACGUUUUGCUUUUCCUCGAUGCUUGCCGUGCAGACGUGCCAGGAGCGGCACUGUCACGCCGCCAGCGCCCAGGACUUGGUUCCAGCUCCUCCGCAGCAGCAGCGGGGCCCAAACAAAGGCGGCUCUGUCCUCCCCUGCGGGAAGAAGCAUUUCUGUGUCAGCGAACUAAAAGCCACGCUCAGGAGGGGCACUUUGGCUUUCCCCUCCUCCUGCACAGUGAUCUGGGGGAGAUAAAAGGGUUUUCUGUAAUGCGAAAGCGUUGCCAAAAAGCCCCAGUGGGAGUUGGGUCUGCUCGGGGGGAGGUGGAGCGGCUGCGGAGAGCACGGCGGGGUUGUGCUGGGUGCUGCUGCCAGCAGGGCUGUCCCCAGGGGCCACAUGGGGUGGGGUGGG